CCAAUAGCGUAUAUUAAAGUUGUUGCAGUUAAAAAGCUCGUAGUUGAAUUUCGGGAUCAAUAUGUUGGUCGUGCCUCGGUACGUACUAGCAUAUUGGUUUCUCCUUUCUGAAGAACCAUGAUGUCAUUUAUUUGGUGUCGUGGGGAAUCAGGACUGUUACUUUGAAAAAAUUAGAGUGUUUAAAGCAGGCUCACGCUUGAAUACAUUAGCAUGGAAUAAU
rnacentral:rRNA from 1 species